rnacentral:rRNA from 1 species
UACAGGGGGUGCAAACGUUGCUCGGAAUCAUUGGGCGUAAAGCGCACGUAGGCGGUCUGUUAUGUCGGAUGUGAAAGCCCUUGGCCUAACUGAGGAAGUGCAUCCGAAACUGGCAGGCUAGAGUACUAAAGAGGGUCGUGGAAUUCCCGGUGUAGAGGUGAAAUUCGUAGAUAUCGGGAGGAACACCGGUGGCGAAGGCGGCGACCUGGGUAGAUACUGACGCUGAGGAGCGAAAGUGUGGGGAGCGAACAGG